GUAAGUGGUCGCCUGCUUGUUGAGGUCGGCCACCUGCUCCUGGUUCAGCUCAUCCACGUCCACCUCCACGUCGAUAUCGGGGAUCACUUCGUCUUCAUCCGUGUUGCUCUCCUCCUCGGAGUCCUCCACGUCGCCGCGGUUCUCCGCUGCGUUCUCCAACUCGGCCACAGUGCUGUCCUCGUAGGUGUAACCGAUGGACGCCUUCUUCU
rnacentral:lncRNA from 1 species